rnacentral:rRNA from 2 species
AGGUUAAGCUGAAGAGGCGGAGCCGCAGCGAAAGCGAGUCUGAAUAGGGCGUUUAGUACGUGGUCGUAGACCCGAAACCAGGUGAUCUACCCAUGUCCAGGGUGAAGUUCAGGUAACACUGAAUGGAGGCCCGAACCCACGCACGUUGAAAAGUGCGGGGAUGAGGUGUGGGUAGCGGAGAAAUUCCAAUCGAACCUGGAGAUAGCUGGUUCUCCCCGAAAUAGCUUUAGGGCUAGCCUUAAGUGUAAGAGUCUUGGAGGUAGAGCACUGAUUGAACUAGGGGUCCUCAUCGGAUUACCGAAUUCAGUCAAACUCCGAAUGCCAAUGACUUAUCCUUAGGAGUCAGACUGCGAGUGAUAAGAUCCGUAGUCAAGAGGGAAACAGCCCAGAUCGCCAGCUAAGGUCCCAAAGUGUGUAUUAAGUGGAAAAGGAUGUGGAGUUGCUUAGACAACUAGGAUGUUGGCUCAGAAGCAGCCACCAUUUAAAGAGUGCGUAAUAGCUCACUAGUCGAGUGACUCUGCGCCGAAAAUGUACCGGGGCUAAAUACACCACCGAAGCUGCGAAUUGAUACCAAUGGUAUCAGUGGUAGGGGAGCGUUCUAAGUGCAGUGAAGUCAGACCGGAAGGACUGGUGGAGCGCUUAGAAGUGAGAAUGCCGGUAUGAGUAGCGAAAGACGGGUGAGAAUCCCGUCCACCGAAUGCCUAAGGUUUCCUGAGGAAGGCUCGUCCGCUCAGGGUUAGUCAGGACCUAAGCCGAGGCCGACAGGCGUAGGCGAUGGACAACAGGUUGAUAUUCCUGUACCACCUCUUUAUCGUUUGAGCAAUGGAGGGACGCAGAAGGAUAGAAGAAGCGUGCGAUUGGUUGUGCACGUCCAAGCAGUUAGGCUGAUAAGUAGGCAAAUCCGCUUAUCGUGAAGGCUGAGCUGUGAUGGGGAAGCUCCUUAUGGAGCGAAGUCUUUGAUUCCCCGCUGCCAAGAAAAGCUUCUAGCGAGAUAAAAGGUGCCUGUACCGCAAACCGACACAGGUAGGCGAGGAGAGAAUCCUAAGGUGUGCGAGAGAACUCUGGUUAAGGAACUCGGCAAAAUGACCCCGUAACUUCGGGAGAAGGGGUGCUUUCUUAACGGAAAGCCGCAGUGAAUAGGCCCAAGCGACUGUUUAGCAAAAACACAGGUCUCUGCGAAGCCGUAAGGCGAAGUAUAGGGGCUGACACCUGCCCGGUGCUGGAAGGUUAAGGAGAGGGGUUAGCGUAAGCGAAGCUCUGAACUGAAGCCCCAGUAAACGGCGGCCGUAACUAUAACGGUCCUAAGGUAGCGAAAUUCCUUGUCGGGUAAGUUCCGACCCGCACGAAAGGUGUAACGAUUUGGGCACUGUCUCAACCAGAGACUCGGUGAAAUUAUAGUACCUGUGAAGAUGCAGGUUACCCGCGACAGGACGGAAAGACCCCGUGGAGCUUUACUGUAGCCUGAUAUUGAAUUUUGGUACAGUUUGUACAGGAUAGGCGGGAGCCAUUGAAACCGGAGCGCUAGCUUCGGUGGAGGCGCUGGUGGGAUACCGCCCUGACUGUAUUGAAAUUCUAACCUACGGGUCU